CCUACGGGAGGCAGCAGUGGGGAAUAUUGGACAAUGGGCGAAAGCCUGAUCCAGCCAUGCCGCGUGUGUGAAGAAGGCCUUCGGGUUGUAAAGCACUUUCAGUGGGGAAGAAAGCCUUGGGGCUAAUACCCUCGAGGAAGGACAUCACCCACAGAAGAAGCACCGGCUAACUCCGUGCCAGCAGCCGCGGUAAUACGGAGGGUGCGAGCGUUAAUCGGAAUUACUGGGCGUAAAGCGCGCGUAGGCGGUCUGAUAAGCCGGUUGUGAAAGCCCCGGGCUCAACCUGGGAACGGCAUCCGGAGCUGGCAGGAGAGAGGGAAGGAGAGGAAGGGAGAAUGCCCGGAGUGGCGGGGAAUUGCGUAGAGACCGGGAGGAAUACCGGGGGUGAGGGCGGCCUCCUGAACUACCACGGACGCUGAGGUGCAAAAGCGUGGAUAGCAAAAGGGAGUAAAGACCCCGGUAGUC
rnacentral:rRNA from 1 species